ACGAUUGGAACCAUUUCCGGGGUUUACCGCUAGGUUUUAUGGGUAUUAUAACGCGUACUGUGGUACUCAAUUUCCAUUUUGAGUCAGUGGUAAGGGGCGUUCCUGCAGGGAUGCACACAUGCAAGAACGCCCGAAUUGUGGGCUGCAGUGUUACCGGUAAUAAACAAACCAAAAGCCAGCCCAGGUUGAUAAGCUACUAAACUUGAAUUUAAGGACAUUAUUACCAGUUACUUUUCCUGGAGCUUCGAGACAGGACCAGAAAUCGUUUAGACUAACGUUAGUUAUAAACUUACUGAAGCCAAGUGUUUUGUCUGUCUGCUAACGCGUUAGUCUGCUUUGUAUCAGCUAGCUACUAACGUUCCCUUAAUGCUAAGCAAAUAAAUCAAGCAACUGCUGUCAGCUUCAUUCUAUUUCUAUGCCAGAUCGUCUCUGCUUGCCGGUUGUCAUGGGAACAUCAGACAGACGUCCUAGUAUCCAGGACGCCAGGAGGGAACAACAGAGCCAGACAACACAAACAUUUGCAUUGGAGCAAGAGGCAGUGAAAUAAAUGCCAUUUAGGAAGCAGUCAGUGAAAGGGUCCAUAUGCCCAUUCUGUUCACUAUAAUGUUAAAAAUCAGUUUUUACAACAGCUAGUUAGUUAUGAUACCACUUUCAUCUAAUACUGCAAUAUUGAUAUGAAGACCAGAACCCACCAAUGAAAUAGUGCCUCAGCCUGGUGAUGGAGGACUCAGUGUACCCCAGACGGGCAGUGUUAGUAUGUCUAUAUAGUGGAGGGCGCUAUGAAGAGAGCUAAGAUCGCCCGGAACACCCACAUUGUUACGGAAACCCUAUAGCCUGACCCAUUUAACAACCACAACAGAUCAGCUUCAAUAGAGACGGUAGUAGUGUUUAUGCUUUGUUAUUUAUAUAAUUUCUACUUUUGACUUUGAUGACUUUGAUGAUUUUCAUCUCAGCCAUCAUUCAAUCCAUCACACAGUGUUGGUGACUAGAGCUUUACUGUAGUUAACAUAGUAAAUAAUUUAUUAAGUAGUUGUGAAAUGUUCUGUUAUGAUACGGGGCAGGGUAGCCUAGUGGUUAGAGCGUUGGACUAGUAACCGAAAGGUUGCAAGUUCAAAUUCCCAAGCUGACAAGGUACAAAUCUGUCGUUCUGCCCCUGAACAGGCAGUUAACCCACUGUUCCUAGGCCGUCAUUGAAAAUAAGAAUUUGUUCUUAACUGACUUGCCUAGUUAAAUAAAGGUAAAAUAAAAAAAUAAAAAAACAAAUGGGGGGACAAGGUUAGUGUUAGGACAUAGACAAACACUACCCUGAUACACUUCCACACACCAUCUCCAAGUAGCAGCACCAACCGAGUCAAGGGCUCUGUUCUGCCAGGAAGCCUUGAUAAUUCCUUAGGGGCAAGUGAUCAAGAUUGCUUGUCAGUCCAGGGGACAGGAGGCCAGAAGCCUCUCAGUUGGCCUUUGUUUGUUUCAUGGUGUUACUUCAUCUCUUUAGUUGGGAAUGUGUUUUUUGUAUUUUCCUUUUUGUACACCUUUAUGUUUCAUCAUCUAAACAAAUAAUAAUCCGCUUGGAAUGGCCUACCAAGAGGUCAAGAAGGAGCUGGCCCUGGACCAAAGGUAAGGUGGCUGUCUCCUGGGUGAGUACAUUUAACACCUAGUCGCACACACUUACUUCCCACGUUUAUGCACACAUCAAAUCAGGUUACAGACCAUUUAGCUGGGCUUAAGACCCCCAUAGACAUAACGAGAGCAACAAAAUCAGUACACUAGUUAUUGGUUUCGUAGCAGUUCCUUUAAUAUUGCUAUACUGUAACAAUGUCCAUUAGCUCAGGUGCGAUGACAUUCACAGUGGUGUGUGUGUUUUAGGUCAGUGAGCCUAAACGUCAGGGUGGUGUUUGUGGCUGGCCAUAGGGUCCUCCUCCUACUGUACCAUCCACGCCAUCAGCCCCACUCAGCCCAUACUCCUCCCCGGGAACACUGCUCUCACCCCAGGGCCCUUCCACACACUACCCCUCCCUGGAGGAUCACAUGGCAAGUGUGGGUUUAGCUGUGGUGCCAAACGCCUGGGACCAGCCCUUACUGCUGGGUGUGAAGGGCACCACCCCAGACCCUGGCUCCUACCGUUUCCUGACACCCGCUGAGUUUUUACAAUUGGAGGAGGCACUUGUGAGGUGCCUGGUGGACUGCCAUUGAUGUACCAGAAGGCCCAUGAGGAGAAGGAGAAGAGUGUACAGGACUGGCAGAAGAUGGUGAAGGAUGCCCACCUGAACAAAGAGCGGUGGCGUCAGUUCCAGGCCCUGGUGGAGCAGAAGUUCCAUGAUUGGCUGUUGGAGUCGGGACACAGACAUGGGCUGGACAGCCUUAUCCCCCCCUGCAUCACUUCCCAGGACCCCUCGCACAGCGACAGCCUGGAGGCCGGGCCAAAUGACACCAGGCAGGAAGGGACAUCUAGAUGGACAGUGGGGAGGACACCUUUUGCCUUGCUGACUUUUUGGGUUCUUGUUGAUGGAGAUCCCCAUACAAAGAAGCUUUUGCCUCACAGUCAGCUGUUUGCUUCACAGCCACUGGUAGCACUAAGCCCUUUGUUUGCAUGCUGUCCACAGUUCCAGACAGGCCUGGAUCUGAUCUGAGGAUCACUAGACUGCAGAAGGGUGGCCUGGUAUACACCUCUGGCUCUGUUCUCGUCCCCUGUAUGCUGUCUCGCCCUCCCACUGCUGCAUUCCUUCAUCUAGUUGAGACUGGUGUGUCCAGAUUCUCUACCCUUGCACACUCACUCUCAUGGAUUUACCAAUGGUGGGGAUGGUAGAGAAUCAGGACACAGGCAGUGGUCCUAUUGUUAGCCACUCAGGUUAGAUCUGCCUAGAGUCUGGUUCUUCUGCUGUGUGUACUGUACCAAUGAUAUAAUAGGGAAUCAUUUAACUCUCUGUUAAAUUCAGAGAUUGACCUUCCAGUAUAGGGGAAAGAUGUAUUAAUGUAUACAUAUGAUAUUAAGUUGUUAAUAUGUAUUUUCUGGUAGCGUAGGAGAGAAGGUGUGAUGAAUUUAAAGGCCUGUGCCAAAUUCCAAGGAAUGUAAUACCUUUAGCACCUGAGUGCCAGUCUGUUUGUGCUGUCAUGUCAACUGCUUAUCACUCAUUGUCAUGUCAAACUGUUUCAAAAUGUUUGACUUUGGCAAUGGGGUUGGCAAGAGCACAAACCGAUCUGGGACCAGGCUAGUACCUCCCUCAGAUUGGACUUUGGUCUGUAGACUAUAAUAGCCACCUCGAAGAAGAUGGCAGAACACAUUAGUGUUAUGAGAAGAGAAAGAUGCCUUUGAGGGAGCAGUUAUAUUCCGUUACAUGGGCCAUUAAGUUAUAUUCCGUUACUGUGUACUAUUAAAAUAAGCCUAGCAUGCUCCAGAGAAUGCUGAUGUUGCUAGGUAACCAGGUAUUUCUCUUCCUUAUUAGUCAUUUGCUUUGCUUCUUCGGCCAGUGUGGAUGGAUGAGAUUGUAUUAUUGUUCUUCUGCCUUGCUGCUGUAGUUUAGUUCUCAGGGACUUCCCCUGUGUAUGGCCUCUUUAUUGUUAUGUUAUCUUAUUGUGUUACUUUCUAUUUUCUAUUUUACUUUAGUUUAUUUAGCAAAUAUUUUCUUACCUCUAUUUCUUGAACUGCGUUGUUGGUUAAGGGCUUGUAAGUAAGCAUUUCACGGUAAGGUCUGUUGUAUUCUGCGAAUGUGACAAAUAAAAAUGGAUUUGCCUUUCAAUUAAAUUGCACUAUGUCGGCCUACUUACAUGUUACAAUGGAAAUUAUUUUCAUGUUUUCUAAGAGCACAAUUUUGUUGUUCUUUUUUUUCUUUAGUCAUGAAUAAACUAUUCAUUUUUGCCUUGACAUGC